UACGUAGGGUGCAAGCGUUGUCCGGAAUUAUUGGGCGUAAAGGGCUCGUAGGCGGUUUGUCGCGUUGUCCGUGAAAACUCACAGCUCAACUGUGGGCGUGCGGGCGAUACGGGCAGACUGGAGUACUGCAAGGGAGACUGGAAUUCCUGGUGUAGCGGUGGAAUGCGCAGAUAUCAGGAGGAACACCGGUGGCGAAGGCGGGUCUCUGGGCAGUAACUGACGCUGAGGAGCGAAAGCGUGGGGAGCGAACAGG
rnacentral:rRNA from 1 species